GCCCCUAACCCGGCCAUAGGCGCCGGUGAUACGCCCGGUCUCAUCAGAACCCGGAAGCUAAGGCCGGCGCCGCGCUCGGGAGUACUGGGCUCCGCGAGGGCCCGGGAAACCGGCGUGCUGGGAGGGGGCUU
rnacentral:rRNA from 2 species